rnacentral:rRNA from 1 species
AUUGAACGCUGGCGGCAGGCCUAACACAUGCAAGUCGAACGAGUGGCGGACGGGUGAGUAAUGUCUGGGAAACUGCCCGAUGGAGGGGGAUAACAACUGGAAACGGUAGCUAAUACCGCAAACCAUCGGAUGUGCCCAGAGGGGAUUAGCUAGUAGGUGGGGUAACGGCUCACCUAGGCGACGAUCCCUAGCUGGUCUGAGAGGAUGACCGGCCGCACUGGAACUGUGACACGGUCCAGAUUCCUACGGGAGGAAGCAGUGGGGAAUAUGGCACAAUGGGCGCAAGCCAGAUGCAGCAUAGCCGCGUGUAUGAAGAGGGCCUUCGGGUUGUAAAGUACUUUCAGCGAGGAGGCGUUACUCGCAGAAGAAGCACCGGCGAACUCCGUGCCAGCCGCCGCGGUAAUUC